UAAGACGAAGGUGGCAAGCGUUGUUCGGAUUCACUGGGCAUAAAGGGCGCGUAGGCGGUUCCGAAAGUGGCAUGUGAAAUCCCCCGGCUCAACCGGGGAAGUGCGUGCCAAACUUCGGUGCUAGAGGGCGGUAGGGGGGACUGGAACUCUCGGUGGAGCGGUGAAAUGCGUAGAUAUCGAGAGGAACACCGGUGGCGAAGGCGAGUCCCUGGUCCGCUUCUGACGCUGAGGCGCGAAAGCGUGGGUAGCAAACAGGAUUAGAUACCCUGGUAGUCCACGCCGUAAACGAUGAGCACUAGGUAGCGGCCGGAUCCGACCGGUCGCUGCUGACGGAAAUCCAUUAAGUGCUCCGCCUGGGGAGUAUGGUCGCAAGGCUG
rnacentral:rRNA from 1 species